rnacentral:rRNA from 1 species
AUCGAGUAACUCCAAACCCAAUGUGAACCAUACCAAACUGUUGCCUCGGCGGGGUCACGCCCCGGGUGCGUCGCAGCCCCGGAACCAGGCGCCCGCCGGAGGGACCAACCAAACUCUUUCUGUAGUCCCCUCGCGGACGUUAUUUCUUACAGCUCUGAGCAAAAAUUCAAAAUGAAUCAAAACUUUCAACAACGGAUCUCUUGGUUCUGGCAUCGAUGAAGAACGCAGCGAAAUGCGAUAAGUAAUGUGAAUUGCAGAAUUCAGUGAAUCAUCGAAUCUUUGAACGCACAUUGCGCCCGCCAGUAUUCUGGCGGGCAUGCCUGUCCGAGCGUCAUUUCAACCCUCGAACCCCUCCGGGGGGUCGGCGUUGGGGAUCGGGAACCCCUAAGACGGGAUCCCGGCCCCGAAAUACAGUGGCGGUCUCGCCGCAGCCUCUCCUGCGCAGUAGUUUGCACAACUCGCACCGGGAGCGCGGCGCGUCCACGUCCGUAAAACACCCAACUUCUGAAAUGUUGACCUCGGAUCAGGUAGGAAUACCCGCUGAACUUAAGCAUAUCA